UGAGUCCUCAUGGAUACAAGAUGGGUUCUCUUUCAUUGAGCCACAAUGGGAACUCCUCCUUUUCUGUUUUUUUUCAAUCUGACCCCACGUUUACCUUUGAUUUGAAUGAGGACUUAAAGAGACCUGGACCAGUUUCUACAUCUGCAUAUGGGGACAUAUGGAGUGCCUUAGAGGCUACGUGUCAAAGUUGGAAGAAGCCUGGCCCCUGAAUCGGUGCUCGGCAGAGAGCCUACUUCAGGUCAGAGGAAGGAGAUUUGGAGACAAGUGAGGAACGUCUGUAUUCCUGUAUCGCAGGUAAGAAGGCUGAUGCACAGAGAAGUCAAGAUGUUUGUCCAAACUGAUACUGAAUAUUUAAUAUCAGGGUUUAAAUUAGGGGACACAUUUGAUACUGGAGAUAUAACGUGGAUGUAAGAAUAAUGGCU
rnacentral:lncRNA from 9 species